rnacentral:piRNA from 1 species
UAAAGCCAACUGCUAUAGGACUGGCAAC